rnacentral:misc_RNA from 1 species
UCCUUAUUACAUGCAGUUCCGAGCGGACAGAUGGGAGCUUGCUCCCUGAUGUUAGCGGCGGACGGGUGAGUAACACGUGGGUAACCUGCCUGUAAGACUGGGAUAACUCCGGGAAACCGGGGCUAAUACCGGAUGGUUGUUUGAACCGCAUGGUUCAGACAUAAAAGGUGGCUUCGGCUACCACUUACAGAUGGACCCGCGGCGCAUUAGCUAGUUGGUGAGGUAACGGCUCACCAAGGCGACGAUGCGUAACCGACCUGAGAUGGUGAUCGGCCACACUGGGACUGAUACACCGGCCAGACCCCUACGCUAGGCCUCCUUAGGGACUCUUCCGCAAGGGAGAGACGCCUUCGGCACCAGGGUUCCUGCACUGAUCAACGUUUUUGAACGCUACGCUUGGAUGUUCAGGCACCACUUCUGCCCUCCAGUUCCGGAGUUUCCUAUGACGCUCCCCAGCUGAGACCCGCGGCUUUAACAUGUGACAUCAGACACGGUCAGACGAUACGUUUACAGCGUUGUACUGCAGUAAUAGGGCUGGACAGCGAUCGAAUGCCGUGUCUGAUGUCUGAUGUGUAAGCCGCCGGCGCUCAUGCGUGAGGAUAGGCGUCUAGGAGCUGCGCGUAUUUGACUGCACAUGAUGCAUACCUGAACACAGAGUGUUACGAUGCAAAUAGACCUAUCAU